UACGUAGGGUGCAAGCGUUAUCCGGAAUUAUUGGGCGUAAAGCGCGUGUAGGCGGCAUGGCAAGUCGGGUGUGAAAGCCCUCAGCUUAACUGAGGAAGUGCGCCCGAAACUGCUUUGCUUGAGUGCCGGAGAGGAUGGCGGAAUUCCCCAAGUAGAGGUGAAAUUCGUAGAUAUGGGGAGGAACACCAGUGGCGAAGGCGGCUCUCUGGCCUGUAACUGACGCUGAGGCGCGAAAGCGUGGGGAGCAAACAGG
rnacentral:rRNA from 1 species